rnacentral:lncRNA from 1 species
UAAUGAACCCCAUUCUCCGUUUUGAACCCCAGUCGCCUGACGAUAACUCGCGAUCGCCAAUGUAAACCCCGUUCUCCAGAAAAUGCCGCAACAUCUCCUUUUCUCCGUUUGAACCCCAUCUCCAGAAAACGCCUCAACAUCUCCUUUUCUCCGUUUGAACCCCGUCUCCAGAAAAUGCCUCAACAUCUCCUUUUCUCCGUUUGAACCCCAUUCUCCAAUCUCCUCGUGAUAAUUCCGCUGGCAACGUCG